rnacentral:rRNA from 1 species
AGAGUUUGAUCCUGGCUCAGAACGAACGCUGGCGGCGUGCUUAACACAUGCAAGUCGAGUGCGCGCCUGUAGCAAUACAGGUGGCGCACGGCGCACGGGUGCGUAACACGUGGGCAAUCUGCCCUCUGAUGAGGAAUAACCCGCCGAAAGGCGGGCUAAUACCGCAUAAAAUUCCUUGGACUUAUGUUCGAGGACUCAAAGGCGUAAGUCGUCGGAGGAGGAGCCCGCGCACGAUUAGCUAGUUGGUAGGGUAAUGGCCUACCAAGGCUUUGAUCGUUAGCUGGUCUGAGAGGAUGGCCAGCCACACUGGAACUGAGACACGGUCCAGACUCCUACGGGAGGCAGCAGUGGGGAAUCUUGCACAAUGGGCGAAAGCCUGAUGCAGCGACGCCGCGUGGGGGAUGAAGCAUUUCGGUGUGUAAACCCCUUUCGAUCCGGACGAAUGCCUCGCAAGAGGAGUGACGGUACGGAUAUAAGAAGCCCCGGCUAACUACGUGCCAGCAGCCGCGGUAAGACGUAGGGGGCCAGCGUUGUUCGGAAUUACUGGGUGUAAAGGGUUCGUAGGCGGUGUGGCAAGUUGGGUGUGAAAUCUCUGGGCUCAACCCAGAGACUGCUUCCAAAACUGCUGUGCUUGAGUGUGAGAGAGGCUCGUGGAAUUGCAGGUGUAGCGGUGAAAUGCGUAGAUAUCUGCAGGAACACCCGUGGCGAAAGCGGCGAGCUGGAUCACUACUGACGCUGAGGAACGAAAGCUAGGGGAGCAAACAGGAUUAGAUACCCUAGUAGUCC